UUUAGCACAGAUAAAAUUUAUGACCUAAAGCGUAUUUAGAAAAGCUUACAUGAGGUGAGAUUUCUUUUUGUUGACUAUUAAAUCUUUUCUGCUGAACUGGCACCUUUUUUACAGUCCAUUUCGCAAAAUUGAUGGGCAAUUUGCGUAACAUUUUGAGACUAUAGGUGAUGGUUAAUUAUAACGUUCCCGCUGCACCAUACACACUACAAUCUAUUUGAAUGAUGCAUAAUUUGGUUCAUUUCUAAUCAAGAUCCAAGUUUCUACGAAAAUUAGCAACUAUUUUUCAUAUUCCUUAGGUUUUUGUGAUUAGUUAUUUGUUAUUUUUUUUUGCCAGUCAAUUUGAAACAAAGGAGAGAUAAAAUUUGUUUUGUAUCGUAUUAUAAAGUGAACAUAUAAAUACAUUAAGAUCCGUAGGAACACUAAGCUACCAUAAUUUUAUCUUCGAAUGCAAUGAUUUAAAAUCUAUUUAAGUAGAAUUGACAAAUAUGAAUGUGUUAUGCAGCAGAACAUGCUUCGACUCAAAAAUUAUAAAAAGAAAGAUACAGUACCGUUUACAAAUUAGGAGGUUAAAAUCCAAGUGCUCGCAUGAUUGGUGUUCCAAUUAAUAGGAGAAUCACGAAGGAAAUUAGUGUGGCAGGAAUACCAGCUUUUAAAAAGUCACUAACUUUCAAAUAUCUUUUGCCAGCUUCAUUUUCCAUCAUGAUAGCUGUCAUAUUAGGAAAACCACUGGUUGGCAAAGCCAUAGCAAGACUACACAUCAUUCCCGAAGCCAAAACGAAAAGACGUGGAUGAGGAUCGGCAAGGCGACUUCCAACUUCAUGGACAAUGGGAAGUACCACCAUUGCAGCUACUAUAUGAGAAAUAAAUGAAGAAACAACAAGAGUCAAAGCAGAAAAAAUAAGCAGUACCCUAAAUGUAUUAAGGGAAGAAACAGCAUUACCUAUUUUAAGGGCAAUAAGUUCUAAAAGGCCGGAAGAAGACACUACUUUUCCUAACGCAACACCUCCCAUUGCCAAAACUAUGACUGUCCACAAAAAAUUAUUAAAAUCCUCCUUGGUUAACAAACCUGUUCCGAAGAAUACAAUGAUUGGGACUAAUGCAAUAACACCCAUAUCACCAAACACCUCAUCGAAGCGGCGUUCAAGGCACCAAAGGACUAUAGUACCAAUCGUAACAAUGGAAAUAAACCAUUGGACACCAGUAAAUGUAUCCUUGGUGGAGCGAAUUUUAGCUAAAGUGAUGUGCUCAUCUUUCAGUAAUCCAAAAGACAACAGAAACCAUAUAGAAAAUAUACACAGUAACGAUACAGGAAUACUGACGGCAAACCAUUCACCCCAUCCCGCAGCGGGAUCCAUAUUCUGUAGCGCAACAAUAUUUUGUGGGGAUGAAAUAGGCGAAGCAAUACCUCCAACAUUAGAUGCCAAAGCAAUACCCACAAUUAGUAUCUUUGCAAAAUCGGACUCUGCUGGUAAAUUUCUCAGAAGGGGCUGAAUAAUAGAAAAACACAACACUGGCGCAGCAACGUUGCUAAUCCACAUACUAGCAAACAUGGCAACGAACAUGUUUGUAAGAAGCACGCUUCUAGGCUUACGCCCUGCAUGCGCUAAAAUGGAAGUCGCCAACCUUUUAGCAAUAUGAUAUUUGCUUAGAGCAGCUGCAAUGGUAAAACCUCCUAAAAGCAAAACUAUAGUUGGAUUCCACAUCGAACUAAAUAUAACCUUUGUUGAUUCCUUUCCAGAAAGAGGUGAACCGUUCUCAUCUCUCAAAAUUUUCAAAAACACAGUCAUAAAAGGAACCAAAAACGAAGUAACGAACAAAGGAAUAGCCUCCGUAGCCCAUAAUAAAGAAACCAUUACUAACAAAGCCAAACAAUUGUUCUGUUCCCUAUUAUCUAUGACAGGAAAACUUAAUAAGAGAAUAAAUAUAACGAUAAUAGUAAUUAAAGUUGCAAUCGUGCUAUUAAAGAAGCAUCUUGGGAUUCUAAAAACACCAAAUUUAGUUUUGAUUGUAAAAUAGGGGGGCUGUUCUGAUUCUUUCUCAUCAGCUGCGACAGGCUUCAGUCCUGAUAAUCUCGCGGCCUGAGUACGACGCUCCAUAGCCAUCAUUUCACGCCAAAUAGUGUUCCUUUCCCAUGCAACGUAUUCACGAAGAUGACCACGAAGGCGACGGAUAGCCACAAAUGUAUCGCCUUGACAGCAUAGCUUAGCAUACCACUCUGCAACAAUAUUUAAACGCUUUGACAAUGUUUUCCCAGUAGCAGGAAGGAAAGGGUAAGCUUGGUUGACGCGCUUCAUGUACGAUUCACGAAGGCUACUACCCAAAGUUUUAUCAUAUUUUUUUAAGAUUUUUGAAAAACCAGUAUAAUUAAGAUGGACGUACGAAAUCAAGUCAUGAAUUGAAACAUACAACUGUGUCAGUUUUCGCUUUAAAGAAACGAAGUUUUCGUACGCAACAAUAUCAGAUGGAUAUUGUUCAAUAAGCAACCAUCGAUUGUUAUUGUUGUUAUCUUCGUCUUCAUCUUCGUCCUCAUCUUCAUCAUCAUCAUCAUCAUCUUCCUCCUCCACCUCAUCAUCAUUGCCUUGUACCUCAGGUUGAGCUUCUGAAUGUUGUUUUUUUGAUAAACCGUUUUUAGAAGUAUCGACAUCAUGAGGUUCAGACGGUUGAAUAGCAGUAGAUUCUGCUCUAGAUAUAGCAGGGGCCGCAUAACCUCCAUCACUAGUUUGCCCAUUGAGAUAUAUCUCACGGUUUGAAGAAGUAAUGCGAGGCAAUUCUUGGCUGCGGGCCAUACGACCAGAUUUCCUACUCGCUGAGCUCUUUUGUAAUCGUUCAGGGGUAGGGUAAUUAAUGUUGUUUCCCUGACUCAUAUACUCAUUCUCAUAGGUUUCAAAUUCGCCCUUAAUUCUACCAUACUGAUCAGCAAUUUCUUUUUCUUUAGGAGCAUAAAAUUCAACAAUUCCUUGUAAUUCCUUGUCUAAAGCAAACAUAAAGCGAUCAUCGGGUGAUCUUCUUUCGUGCUCUAACAGCCUAGUUUCUUCAUCUGGAGCGCCUUGUUGUAAUGUUAUCUGUUCAUGUUCCAAUGAAUAAAUACUUAAAAAUAUAUGUUAGCAAAAUUCAAGUACAAUUUUAUUCUCCGGCUGUUAAUCAGACAUUAUCCCAAAUUUCGCAAGUAUGAAUUUGUCGGAAUAUAGGAUAUAUCAUAAUAGCCAGUCGUAAGCUCGAGAAUUUUCAAACAUACAGCUUCUUAAGGUUCGAGUAACUAAGCACCGAUUGUUAGCAAAAAUCGGAAGUAAUCCAACAGGUUGUUUACUUACGCAAUGUAGCUUUCGGACCAUUCCGGUACUGCAUUAAAUUGAAGACUAAAAAGUAAUUAGAACAAGUCUUGUGAAAACUGAUGCAACAAACCUAUGACUGAAUUUCAUCUUGGAUGACAGAGGUCAUUUAACUUCAAUUGUGACUAAAAACAGCUUUAGCUUAUUCACGCAAAUUAAUUUGGAACAAUCUAAAGGAGCGUUAGCCGUUCAAAUUUCGUGGCCUAUGAUCGGAGGUGAAGCUGUAUUCGUGGAUCCAACCUCCG
rnacentral:lncRNA from 1 species